rnacentral:rRNA from 1 species
GACGAACGUUGGCGGCGUGCUUAAUACAUGCAAGUCAGCUGAAGCAGUGGUAGCAAUAUCGCUGUGGAGGUGGCGCACGGGUGAGUAACACGUAGGUAAUCUGCCUUCAGGUCUGGCAUAACUCCGGGAAACCGGGGCUAAUAGCAGAUGAUGCAGCGGCUCGACAUCGAGACAGUUGUUAAAGCUAUGGCGCCUGAAGAUGAGCCUGCGUCUGAUUAGCUAGUUGGCGGGGUAACGGCCCACCAAGGCAACGAUCAGUAGCUGGUCUGAGAGGAUGAUCAGCCACACUGGAACUGAGACACGGUCCAGACUCCUACGGGAGGCAGCAGUAAGGAAUAUUGCUCAAUGGGAGAAAUCCUGAAGCAGCAACGCCGCGUGAGGGACGAAGGGCUUUUGCUUGUAAACCUCUGUAGUGAGAGAAAAAAAUCCCAAUCUUUGGGACAUGAUGGUAUCUCAAAAGUAAGCCCCGGCUAACUACGUG